UGCAAGCUACACUAGAGCUUCCUUCCCUGCAGCCAAAGAUACUGACUGGAGAGUGCACUAUCCGGAGAGAGAUUCGAUCUUCGCAGAAUAUUCUGUGGGGAAGUGCUUCUGAAAAGCGUGAUCCUGAGUCUAAAUUCCUCUUGUCAGAUUGAAAGUUCAAGUCGGUCAAUUGAUGGAUCUCUUGCUCAUUGCACAGUUGGUGUAAACUGGAAAUCCAGAAGCUCUGUGCAACCCCUUUCAUCCAAUGCCAGAAACUAGAGCUGUAAGGAGACUGCAGCAAUCUGCAAAAGUAUGCUCAGAGCUUCCACAGCAGUCGUCCCAUCAGUUUGAUCAAUCUUCCACCCAAAGUUGUGGUGACGGUGUAUUCUCUGAUGCAAGGCCAAGUGUGAAAAUGAAACUUGUUAACAAAUUCAGUACUUCAGCUAGCUUCAGUUAUAAAUCAGAUUGCCUGUUAGGUUCAGGAUGGGAGGAUGAGUCUAUUGUAGCUGGCAGAUCAAUGGAGGAUGCCUCAUUUCGGGAGUCUUGACCUUGAUGAUGACAGUUCAAAUGUGAUGCAUGAGAGAAGGAAACCAUUUAUGCGGAGCACAGAAGCCUGAUACAUAAUGAUGGAUCAUCUUUUGCUAGUGAUGAUGAUAUUGAGUUUGAAAAAAGUAACUACAGAAAUAAACGAAAUCGCCUUGAAGAUGAUUAUAGUUUUGAAUUUGAAGUAGCUGACGAUGUUAACCAGGUCUUCAGACAAAGGUUUCCUAGAGGCAAGGUCAAGGAAAUAUAUUUUAAGAACGCCUCCUGGUGCAAAACUCAGAGCAAGGCAUUGCGGAGUCAAAAUUUGACAGGAGAUACAGAAAAAUCUUCAUAUCCAAGGACAUUCUGGAUGAAGACGAUCAUCUUAUGGAUUUCAAUAAACAGACUGAAAAUUAUGGUUCUGGCCUGCUAUAUUUUAGUCCAGAACUAGCUCCUCUGCCACCAGAUACUUUUCUCGGGACCAGUUUUCAAGAAUUUAAUCCUUACAUCUCUGAAAAUGGGAUUGAAACUUCUGUUAAACAUGAAGUUGUUGUCGCAUACAAUUUUGGAAACAUGGUGAACAUAAUCUCUUGGUCCCUGCCAUAAAUAAUUUGAAAAAAGAGGACUGCUUGUUAUUCAAAUCCUUCAAAGUUUGAUCUCAAUUUUUAUGCUCUUUCUAGAAGAGGAGAUUUGGGCAGUAUAGGGGGACUUGAUGCAUGUGAUGUUUAUAGUUCAGGUCCUCCUUAAUUCUAUUAUGAUGGAGAUGAUUUGACACAUGCAUUCUCAUGGUGAAGAGAAUCUUAAGAAUUAUUUGAUACCACGAGCUAUGCUCUCCUCUAGGGUGGAUGAGGACUGCAUAAAUGGAUUGAUGCUGGAAAUCGAGGAAAACAGAUGAGCUUAUAAGGUAGAAGAAGAGUAGAAGAAGCCAUUCAGCUUCUUCAUUUUACCCGAGGCAAGAAGAAGUUCUUUGCCAAAAAAAUUAGAGCAGUAAGGAGACUGCAUCAUUCUGCUGAAGCUAUCUGUUCGGAGCUUCCACAGCAGUCAUCCCAUCAAUAUGAUCAAUCUUCCACCACAAGUUGUGGUGCUGGUGUAUUCUCUGAUGAAAGGCCAAGUGUGAAUUUAACUGAUGUGGAUCUAAUAGAAUUUCUUCAACAGUCAUUGUCAUGUUCUACAACAUGCUGCAGAUGAGCGGAUUUGUUUGGAAGAACUGAGUGAGAAGAUCAUGCCUAAAAUUGGUUACCAAUUACUACACAACUAUGCUGACUAAAUUCAAAAUUGGGAUUGGAUCUGCAACAUUCAUUCUUAAGCUUCAAGAUCAUUUACCAGGGGAGUACUUUAAGGGGCAAGAAAAAAAGAGUAGCUACAGAUUCAAGUUCAAAUAGAAGUAGAACUCUUGUUGAUGAGUCCUCCGAUGAGGAAGAAGAUGAGGACCAAGUAGAACCCUUGUUGAUGGCACUUCAAGAGUUUGAGGAUCUUGUUGAAGAAUAGGAUGUUACUCUCUUUGUGAUUUGGUUAUGCAUUUGCUUUAUAUGUUGUUACUUAUGAGGAUUAUUGACUAUCUAUUUACUUUUUAAUCCAAGUCUUUUGAGUUCUUGAUUAUU